rnacentral:rRNA from 1 species
CCUAACACAUGCAAGUCGAGCGGAAACGAGUUAACUGACCCUUCGGGUGACGUUAACGGCGUCGAGCGGCGGACGGGUGAGUAAUGCCUGGGAAAUUGCCCUGAUGUGGGGGAUAACCAUUGGAAACGAUGGCUAAUACCGCAUAAUGCCUUCGGCCAAAGAGGGGGACCUUCGGGCCUCUCGCGUCAGGAUAUGCCCAGGUGGGAUUAGCUAGUUGGUGAGGUAAUGGCUCACCAAGGCGACGAUCCCUAGCUGGUCUGAGAGGAUGAUCAGCCACACUGGAACUGAGACACGGUCCAGACUCCUACGGGAGGCAGCAGUGGGGAAUAUUGCACAAUGGGCGCAAGCCUGAUGCAGCCAUGCCGCGUGUGUGAAGAAGGCCUUCGGGUUGUAAAGCACUUUCAGCAGUGAGGAAGGCGGGUACGUUAAUAGCGUGCUCGUUUGACGUUAGCUGCAGAAGAAGCACCGGCUAACUCCGUGCCAGCAGCCGCGGUAAUACGGAGGGUGCGAGCGUUAAUCGGAAUUACUGGGCGUAAAGCGCAUGCAGGUGGUUCGUUAAGUCAGAUGUGAAAGCCCGGGGCUCAACCUCGGAACUGCAUUUGAAACUGGCGGACUAGAGUACUGUAGAGGGGGGUAGAAUUUCAGGUGUAGCGGUGAAAUGCGUAGAGAUCUGAAGGAAUACCGGUGGCGAAGGCGGGCCCCCUGGACAGAUACUGACACUCAGAUGCG